rnacentral:snRNA from 1 species
UUACUUAACUGGGGUCUACGGGCGAUCAAGAAGGCAUGUGGCCUGGGUCAAUGGUCCACAUUGCACUUGGUGGGCGCGUUGGUCCAUCAUCUCCCCAAGUGGGAGAGUGAACGUCAUAAUUUGUGAUAGAGGGGGUACGCGUUCGCGCGGCCCCUGC